AGAACGAACGCUGGCGGCAUGGAUUAGGCAUGCAAGUCGAACGAGGCAGCAAUGCCGAGUGGCGGAAGGGUGAGGAACGCGUGAGUAAUCUGCCCCCUAGUUGGGAAUAACAGUUGGAAACGACUGCUAAUACCGGAUGUGGCUCAUUGGUCGCAUGACCGAUGGGCUAAAGAUUUAUCGCUAGGGGAUGAGCUCGCGUCCCAUUAGCUAGUUGGUGAGGCAACGGCUCACCAAGGCGACGAUGGGUAGCUGGUCUGAGAGGAUGGUCAGCCACACUGGGACUGAGACACUGCCCAGACUCCUACGGGAGGCUGCAGUCGAGAAUCUUGGGCAAUGCGCGAAAGCGUGACCCAGCAAUGCCGCGUGCGGGAUGAAGGUCUUCGGAUUGUAAACCGCUGUCAACCGGGACGAACACAAUGACUGUACCGGUAAAGGAAGCCACGGCUAACUACGUGCCAGCCGCGGC
rnacentral:rRNA from 1 species